AUCAUAACUUAUAGUUUUAAGAUGGCUAAUUCAAAGUGCAAUCGUAAAGUCAUCGUAAUAACUUCCUUUCUAAGAAUCCCGCGUCGUUGCGGUUAUAAACACAAUCAAGGCAACAAAACGCGCAGAUUUGAGGAAAAUUUCAACGAAUUUCUACAUUAUACAAUGUACAACUUCUAGAAAAUGUAAUUUUUUGUUAAUUUAACUUUAAUUACACCUGAUAUCAAUAAAUAAUAAUUACUAGAGUUUAUCCAGCAAACAACACAGUGGUUAUUAUGCACUGUACUGUAUUAAGUAAUACAUAUUUUAUUAUGAUAUGUUUACAUCGACAGCAGCGAUGCAUGUUGUGCAAAAAUGGAAUAUAAUACAUUUUAAUACAGUAAUACACGAUUGCGUUUAGUGUAUUUUUUAUGUUUUAUGCGCUUGCAUCACAAAUUGAGUUAUAAUUCAAGUAUUGAUGGAUCAAUUUUAUAAAAAAAGGCAUAUUUAACUGCUUUAUUAACGCAGCGCGAAGAUUUAUCUCUGUUUGUUUUUGGUGAUGGAUGCCAGUGGAGUUUAUGUAUCAUGUGUAAAGUCGGUGAAACGUAAUGAAAGGGCAUACGCGGUAGCCUUGGCCUCAUUUUACAAAACACCGUUCAUAUUACAUAUUAUUCGCACGUUGUUAGUACUCGUACUCCAAUUGCUUAUCCACAGGUACUUCCCAACUCAGUAUAUGGAUGAAAGUAUUAGUAGGUAGUAACAAAGGAAGUUAAUCAAAUGUUUUUAUCAAAUGAUUUUAUGAUUCCACUUGGAGUGGAACUACCAAGGGACGAAAACUGCUUCUCAGGCGAGAAACUUCUUACCACACUAAAAGCCAGCUAGAUAUUCACGUCCGUGUGUACUUAAUGUGUAUAAUGUGACAAUGUAACAAUAUGUUCACCUCUAGGGCACGUGCUCUUAACGUGCACUUCAUUCUGGUUUCUAAAAAUAGAAAUCUUCAGGUUGGUACUUGCUUUAGACCUUAAUUCUCAAGUCGCGCACACAAAAAAAACACCAUACACUUAAGAAAUCUUAAAAAAUCGCAAAUAUAUGAUUUCUUUAUAUUUUUUUAAAUUGCAACGUUAAAAAAUACAUUUUUCACUUGCAUACCCAGACAAUACGACGAAUAGUUUCGACAAGAGUUGUUAACUUGUUGUUGUACUUGCAUAAAAUAAUUUUCUGGAUAUUAAAUAAUAAAAUGUUCGACGAAAAUUAUAUUUAUGAAAAGUGUAUGUGCACAAUUGUAAAGAUUGAUGCAUAAAAUUGUGGUUUGCGGUUGAUUGUGUUGAUUGUUUUGCUUAAUAUAAAAUUUUUUAAAUUGUUAUACAUUAAAUUAACAUAAUAUUCGAAUUUGGUAUUUUAAAUCCCAUUUUAUUAUCAAACAUUCGUGAUAAUUUGCAUCUCAUUAGAUUUAAAUGCGCUCGCUGUUAUGUAAUCAGUUGGAGAAGUUUAUUUUUAGAUUAAUAAACCGAAUGCGAAUAAAUUAAA